GGGGAAUAUUUCACAAUGGGGGAAACCCUGAUGCAGCAACGCCGCGUGAGUGAUGACGGCCUUCGGGUUGUAAAGCUCUGUCUUCAGGGACGAUAAUGACGGUACCUGAGGAGGAAGCCACGGCUAACUACGUGCCAGCAGCCGCGGUCAUACGUAGGUGGCAAGCGUUGUCCGGAUUUACUGGGCGUAAAGGGAGCGUAGGCGGACUUUUAAGUGAGAUGUGAAAUACCCGGGCUCAACCUGGGUGCUGCAUUUCAAACUGGAAGUCUAGAGUGCAGGAGAGGAGAGUGGAAUUCCUAGUGUAGCAGUGAAAUGCGUAGAGAUUAGGAAGAACACCAGUGGCGAAGGCGACUCUCUGGACUGUACCUGACGCUGAGGCUCGAAAGCGUGGGGAGCAAACA
rnacentral:rRNA from 1 species